rnacentral:other from 1 species
AGUUGCCUGGAAUGUUCGUAACCUCUGUUUUUGAACCUUCGUGACAGAAACGGGAGCUUGGGUUAAGUGGAAUACGGUCAGACCUCCCGGACUUCGGUCCGAGUAUGGGGUAGACUUAAGACCACUGCAGGGCACCCACCUAGUAGUGAUGCUGGGUGUCAAAAGGGGGUUCGACAUCCCGGGCAUUCU